rnacentral:rRNA from 1 species
GACGAACGCUGGCGGCGUGCUUAACACAUGCAAGUCGAACGGAAAGGCCCUGCUUUUGUGGGGUGCUCGAGUGUCGAACGUGUGAGUAACACGUGAGUAACCUUCCCUUGACUUUUGUAUAACUUCAGGAAACUGGGGCUAAUACCGGAUAGGAGCUCCUGCUGCAUGGUGUGGGUUGGAUAGUUUCGGCGGUUGGGUAUGGACUCGCGGCUUCUCAUCUUGUUGGUGGGGUAGUGGCUUACCAAGGCUUUGACGGGUAGCCGGCCUGAGAGGGUGACCGGCCACAUUGGGACUGAGAUACGGCCCAGACUCCUACGGGAGGCAGAAGUGGGGAAUAUUGCACAAAGGGCGGAAGCCUGAUGCAGCAACGCCGCGUGCGGGAUGACGGCCUUCGGGUUGUAAACCGCUUUCGCCGGUGACGAAGCGUGAGUGACGGUAAUGGGUAAAGAAGCACCGGCUAACUACGUG